rnacentral:misc_RNA from 1 species
GAUGAAGAACGUAGCGAAAUGCGAUACGUAAUGUGAAUUGCAGAAUUCAGUGAAUCAUCGAAUCUUUGAACGCACAUUGCGCUCUCUGGUAUUCCGGAGAGCAUGCUUGUUUGAGUAUCAGUAAACACCUCAACUCCUUUAUUGUAGUUGGACUUGAGCUAUCCCAACAGGACUUUUUGUUCCUGGCGGGAGGCUUGAGAUGCAGGUGCAGCUGGACUUUCUUCUGAGCUAUAAGCAUAUUUAUUUAAUCCCUUAACACGGAUUAUUACUUUUUUGCUGCAGCUAACAUAAAGGUUGAAUUUCCAUUGAGCUGACUGAUGCAGGAAUUUGGCAAGGAAUUUUUUUAAUGACUUGUUAAACUCGAUCUCAAAUCAAGUAAGACUACCCGCUGAACUUAAGCAUAUCAAUAAGCGGAGGA